UUUGCAGGUUUUGUUUAUAGCAGUGGGUCCUGGAGGGCCGACAUCCUGCAGGUUCUAGUCUCUCCUGGUGGUAGAAACAACCUUUUCAGCAGGUCAAUGUUCUUCUAACGAGCCUCAUUGGAUCCAGGUUUGUUAAACCAGGGAGAGACUAAAACAUGCAGGUUUCGGCCCUCAGGGGCCCACUGUGGCCCCCACUGCUUUAGACAUUUUCUGUUUGCUCAUUUUGCCCAGAAGAAGCUGAGUUUUACUUUAAAUGGUGAAUUCUGUUAUGUUUAGUUUUUCUCUUUUACUUUAUUUAACUUUAUUAGUAACUAAUAAAACAUCCAAACUCCGCCCACUUCCACAGUCCUUCACUGAGAGGAAGAGACUUUAAAUCCUGCUGCUAGUUUAUAAAUCACUGAACGGAUUAAAGAUCUGCAGCUGCUGGAUCAACCUGCUGGUUCUGGUUCU